CUUGACGAUCAUAGAGCGUUGGAACCACCUGAUCCCUUCCCGAACUCAGAAGUGAAACGACGCAUCGCCGAUGGUAGUGUGGGGUCUCCC
rnacentral:rRNA from 1 species